UGCUUUGUGGAGUCUCUCUCUUCUCUCUCUC
rnacentral:sRNA from 1 species